rnacentral:rRNA from 1 species
CAGGUAGUUGGUGCGGUAACGGCGCACCAAGCCAACGACGGGUAGGGGACCUGAGAGGGUGAUCCCCCACACUGGGACUGAGACACGGCCCAGACUCCUACGGGAGGCAGCAGUGAGGAAUAUUGCCCAAUGGGCGCAAGCCUGAGGCAGCGACGCCGCGUGGGUGAAGAAGGCCUUCGGGUCGUAAAGCCCUUUUCUGCGUGACGAGACAAAGGACGGUAGCGCAGGAAAAAGUCUCGGCUAACUACGUGCCAGCAGCCGCGGUAAAACGUAGGAGGCAAGCGUUAUCCGGAGUUACUGGGCGUAAAGCGUGCGUAGGCGGAUCUGUAAGUGGGUGGUGAAAGCGCCCGGCUAAACCGGGCGAGGUCCAUUCAGACUGCAAAUCUAGAGGCGGAUAGAGGGGUGCGGAAUUCCGGGUGUAGCGGUGAAAUGUGUAGAGAUCCGGAGGAACACCAGUGGUGCAAACGGCGCCCUGGGUCCGAACUGACGCUGAAGCACGAAAGCGUGGGGAGCGAACGGGAUUAGAGACCCCGGUAGUCCACGCCGUAAACGAUGUCAACUAGGUGUCCACUUGGCUACGGUCAAGGGGGUG